UCCCUGGUGGCCCAGUGGCUAAGACUCUGCACUCCCAAAGCAGGCGGCCCAGGUUCGAUCCCUGGUCGGGGAA
rnacentral:tRNA from 1 species